rnacentral:rRNA from 1 species
GAUCCUGGCUCAGGACGAACGCUGGCGGCGUGCUUAACACAUGCAAGUCGAACGCUGAAGCCUAGCUUGCUGGGUGGAUGAGUGGCGAACGGGUGAGUAACACGUGAGUAACCUGCCCUCUUCUUUGGGAUAACGCCCGGAAACGGGUGCUAAUACUGGAUAUUCACUGGCCUUCGCAGUGGGGGUUGGUGGUAAGGUUUUUCUGGGUGGGGGAGUGGGCUCGCGGCCUAUCAGCUUGUUGGUGGGUGAU